AUUGAACGCUGGCGGCAGGCCUAACACAUGCAAGUCGAGCGGAGCGGCGGACGGGUGCGUAAUGCCUAGGAAUCUGCCUGUUAGUGGGGGAUAACGUCCGGAACCGGGCGCUAUUCCCGCUUCCUCUCGGCUGAGCCUAGGUCGGAUUAGCUAGUUGGUGGGGUAAAGGCCUACCAAGGCGACGAUCCGUAACUGGUCUGAGAGGAUGAUCAGUCACACUGGAACUGAGACACGGUCCAGACUCCUACGGGAGGCAGCAGUGGGGAAUAUUGGACAAUGGGCGAAAGCCUGAUCCAGCCAUGCCGCGUGUGUGAAGAAGGUCUUCGGAUUGUAAAGCACUUUAAGUUGGGAGGCGUUACCAACAGAAUAAGCACCGGCUAACUUCGUGCCAGCAGCCGCGGUAAUAC
rnacentral:rRNA from 1 species